rnacentral:rRNA from 1 species
CUACCCUUAAGUGGGGGAUAACAUUUGGAAACAGAUGCUAAUACCGCAUAACCAUUCAGACCACAUGGUCUGAAUGUAAAAGACGGCCUUUGGCUGUCACUUUUGGACGGACCCGCGGCGUAUUAGUUAGUUGGUAAGGUAACGGCUUACCAAGACAAUGAUACGUAGCCGACCUGAGAGGGUAAUCGGCCACAUUGGGACUGAGACACGGCCCAAACUCCUACGGGAGGCAGCAGUAGGGAAUCUUCCACAAUGGACGAAAGUCUGAUGGAGCAACGCCGCGUGAGUGAAGAAGGUUUUAGGAUCGUAAAACUCUGUUGUUGGAGAAGAACAGGGACUAGAGUAACUGUUAGUCCUUUGACGGUAUCCAACCAGAAAGCCACGGCUAACUACGUGCCAGCAGCCGCGGUAAUACGUAGGUGGCAAGCGUUGUCCGGAUUUAUUGGGCGUAAAGCGAGCGCAGGCGGUUUUUUAAGUCUGAUGUGAAAGCCUUCGGCUUAACCGAAGAAGUGCAUUAGAAACUGGGAAACUUGAGUGCAGAAGAGGACAGUGGAACUCCAUGUGUAGCGGUGAAAUGCGUAGAUAUAUGGAAGAACACCAGUGGCGAAGGCGGCUGUCUGGUCUGUAACUGACGCUGAGGCUCGAAAGUAUGGGGAGCGAACAGGAUUAGAUACCCUGGUAGUCCAUACCGUAAACGAUGAAUGCUAAGUGUUGGAGGGUUUCCGCCCUUCAGUGCUGCAGC